CCAAAAUAAAAUAAAAAACAGUAAAGGAUGUAAGGAAAGGAAACAAAAGAGAGAAAAAAAAGGUUAUGAAGUUUUGUGGGUAGAAUUAAUUAGAUGAAGAAGAAGAAGAAGUGGGAAUGGUGUCAUCUUCUUCGCAUUGUUUCAACAAUUCACUGAAGGAUGGAUCAUAAGAGCACCUCCAGUGGUUAGCACCAUUGGAGGAUGCUAAUCAAUUGUUUUUUUUAUUAAUUUUCAAAAAUUGUGCUUAUGUGUUACUUAUAAUCACAACUUAAGCUAUGGUGCUUACAAUAUAUAUAUAUUUUUUUUUUGAUUAUAUUCAUUACAUAUAAUGAUAAGCAACAUGCUAAACAUACAUUAAGCACCUCCAAUGGAGGUGCUUUAAGCCACCACUCUUCUCAAAUACUUUGCAGCUAGCUACCUCUCUCCUUCCUUCAUUGAAUAUAGGUACAUUUUAAUGUCCUUCAGUUGUGUUUUUAUCUCAUUCAUGUUUCAUAGAUGUUCAAUUCUUGGUAUUUUUGAUGUUUUACUUAGGAACCUUGUUAUUGUGAGAGUUGAUUAAGUUGUUGAACCUCUCAUAUAAAGCUUAUCUUGUUUGGAUCAGUAAUGAAGUUUUAGUUAUUCUCGUUUUAUCAGUCAAAUCUUGAUCAAACUCUUAGACCAACAUUAUCAGCAGGAUUUAAGGGGUAUCUUAGUAUUAAUAGUAUUUAAAUUUUAAUCAAAAAAUAUAAUAAAUAUUAAGAUACCUAUGUUGGAGUAUGUUGGAGAAGAUACCAUUGGUGGGUUAAGAGACGCCUACGUGGCAGACUCUGAUUGAUUGAUAUUUUUUUUUUUUUUUUUUUAGAAAGUCUGAUUGACUAAGAUGAUAAAUAUUUAAUGGGAGAAACAAAUUUUACUCAGAUGAAGAUGAACGAGAUAUGUAUACUCAGUUUGAUGUCACUGAAUUUCAACAAGCGAAAACUGCCAAAAGUA
rnacentral:lncRNA from 1 species